rnacentral:tRNA from 1 species
GGUCUGUGUCGGCAGGCGGACGACCACCUUGCCGGAGGCGAGGUCUAUCGGGCCUCGUCCGGGGUCCCCGUCGUUCAGGUCCACGCGGGUCA